GUGUCAGCAGCCGCGGUAAAACGUAGGACGCAAGCGUUAUCCGGAGUUACUGGGCGUAAAGGGCAGGCAGGCGGGUCGAUAAGUCGGAUGUGAAAUCUCCCUGGCUUAACCGGGAGAGUGCAUUUGAGACUGUCAACCUGGAGGGCAGCAGAGGAGCGUGGAAUUCCGGGUGGAGUGGUGAAAUGCGUAGAGAUCCGGAGGAACACCAGAGGCGAAAGCGGCGCUCUGGGCUGCACCUGACGCUGAACUGCGAAAGCCAGGGGAGCGAACGGGAUUAGAAACCCCCGUAGUCC
rnacentral:rRNA from 1 species